rnacentral:rRNA from 1 species
UACAGAGGGGAGCAAGCGUUAUUCGGAAUUAUUGGGCGUAAAGGGCGCGUAGGCGGCUUUGCAAGUGACGGGUGAAAUCCCUCGGCUUAACCGAGGAACUGCCUGUCAGACUGUGAGGCUUGAGACCGGGAGAGGUGAGUGGAAUUCCCGAGUGUAGCGGUGAAAUGCGUAGAUAUUGGGAAGGAACACCAGUGGCGAAGGCGGGCUCACUGGACCGGAACUGACGCUGAGGCGCGAAAAGCGUGGGGAGCAAAGCAGG